rnacentral:rRNA from 1 species
CAGCAGCCGCGGUAAUACGAGGGCCCCAAGCGUUAUCCGGAUUUAUUGGGCGUAAAGCGUCCGUAGGUGGUUUAUCGCAUCUCCUGUUAAAUCUCGAGGCCCAACCUCGAGUCAGCGGGAGAGAUGGCUAAACUAGAGACUGGAAGAGGCCAAUGGAAUUGCUGGUGUAGGGGUUAAAUCCAUUAAUAUCAGCAAGAACACCAAAUGCGAAGGCAAUUGGCUAGGACAGUUCUGACACUCAGGGGACGAAAGCGUGGGGAGCGAAUGGGAUUAGAUACCCCAGUAGUCCACGCCGUAAACGAUGGAUACUAAGCAUUGGCAGUAUCGACCCUGCCAGCGCUGUUAUUUUAAGGUAACCCGUUAAGUAUCCCGCCUGGGGAGUACGAGCGCAAGCUUAAAACUCAAAGGAAUUGACGG